GUCCAGCUGACGAGUCCCGAAUAAGACGAAACGCGCGUCAAACUGAAU
rnacentral:hammerhead_ribozyme from 1 species